GUGGGGAAUCUUGCGCAAUGGGCGAAAGCCUGACGCAGCCAUGCCGCGUGGAUGAUGAAGGUCUUAGGAUUGUAAAAUCCUUUCACCGGUGAAGAUAAUGACUGUAGCCGGAGAAGAAGCCCCGGCCAACUUCGUGCCAGCAGCCGCGGUAAUACGAAGGGGGCUAGCGUUGCUCGGAAUUACUGGGCGUAAAGGGCGCGUAGGCGGACAGCUUAGUCAGAGGUGAAAGCCCAGGGCUCAACCUUGGAAUUGCCUUUGAUACUGACUGUCUUGAGUUUGGGAGAGGUGAGUGGAACUCCGAGUGUAGAGGUGAAAUUCGUAGAUAUUCGGAAGAACACCAGUGGCGAAGGCGACUCACUGGCCCAAUACUGACGCUGAGGCGCGAAAGCGUGGGGAGCAAACAGGAUUAGAAACCCGGGUAGUCC
rnacentral:rRNA from 1 species